GAAAUAAAAAAAAAGUAAGCUUCUAACUUAUCUUCCUAGCGAUUAAUAUCGUUAUUAUUUCU
rnacentral:tRNA from 1 species